UACGAAGGGGGCUAGCGUUGCUCGGAAUCACUGGGCGUAAAGGGUGCGUAGGCGGGUCUUUAAGUCAGGGGUGAAAUCCUGGAGCUCAACUCCAGAACUGCCUUUGAUACUGAAGAUCUUGAGUUCGGGAGAGGUGAGUGGAACUGCGAGUGUAGAGGUGAAAUUCGUAGAUAUUCGCAAGAACACCAGUGGCGAAGGCGGCUCACUGGCCCGA
rnacentral:rRNA from 1 species